rnacentral:rRNA from 1 species
GACAGAGGGUGCAAACGUUGUUCGGAAUUACUGGGCGUAAAGCGUGUGUAGGCGGCCAUUCAAGUCGGAUGUGAAAUCCCCAAGCUUAACUUGGGAACUGCAUCCGAUACUGGAUGGCUUGAAUCCGGGAGAGGGAUGCAGAAUUCCAGGUGUAGCGGUGAAAUGCGUAGAUAUCUGGAGGAAUACCGGUGGCGAAGGCGGCAUCCUGGACCGGCAUUGACGCUGAGGAGCGAAAGCUAGGGGAGCAAACGGG